rnacentral:rRNA from 1 species
UACGAAGGUCCCGAGCGUUAUUCGGAAUCACUGGGCGUAAAGGGAGCGUAGGCGGCGCGGUAAGUCGGAUGUGAAAUCCCGGGGCUCAACCCCGGAACUGCAUCUGAUACUGCCGUGCUAGAGUAAUGGAGGGGUAGCUGGAAUUAUCGGUGUAGCAGUGAAAUGCGUAGAUAUCGAUAGGAACACUCGUGGCGAAAGCGAGCUACUGGACAUUUACUGACGCUGAGGCUCGAAGGCUAGGGGAGCGAAAGGG